rnacentral:lncRNA from 1 species
UCCCGGCUACAAAUGACGUUCUGAUACACUGUGUCCUUUGAGGGGCAUUCAAUAAAAUUGGAUGAUACAGCCAGCCACCAGUUGGCCCUUCAAUAUUGUGAAAAGAAUUUAACUUUUUACAACUUCGUGCGGCUGGAAGCUGGUCCAUGGUUGCAUUUCAGCAAAUAAUCAUUAAUUUAUUAAUUGAUUAUUAUAGAAAUAAAAUGUAUUUAAGAUUUUAUCCAGCUUGCAUCGAAA